AAAUCAGAAGAACCUCAGCAAUGUGGGAUCUUCUCAGUGAUUCUUUUUUUUUUUUAUUUAAGAUAUCAAACUUCAUGCCCAUACAUAGGUGAAGGGACUGUAGUUCCACGUUUUCAAAACUUUGAGUUGAUAUUCUGUUCUCGGUGGCUUAACAACUUCCCUGAAAGAAUUCAAGGUCCCAGGUGAUGCAGGGUUCCCUGUGCCACACCAUGAUGAUUUUUUCCUUGUGGGUUGUGGAUUGUCCUUAUUUUGUCUUCAUGCUGAACAAUGCUGUGGUUCCCCCAAAGGGAGACAGGGUUACUUUCUGUCAUCCUGCUCUAAAAUCACUCUCUCCCACUCUCUUUUUGAGUUGCAUAUGUUCUUAUUCUCCAGCCUCCUCCGGCCAGCCCCAUUUCCCACUCUUUCUGAUUAUUACUGUAUUUCUGGGCAGUGUCCCGGGAGAAAUGAUAAAGUGUGCUUGGUUGAACAGAGCACAGGAAACAGGGCCAAUUUACGGCCCCCUGAACCGAGGCUGGCAGUUUUUACUUAGACACUGACUGGUGGUCUGCUCUAAUUCCCCUUUGUUUAUAUAAUCCAUGGAUGCAGUUCAUCCAGAGAAAAAUUCUUUUCUGAAGUCAUUAACAUAUAGAUUGGGUUCUUUGGAAAAGGAAAUUUGGAAAUCUAUUGUAUUCAAAGAAAUCUUUUAUUCUUCAAACACUUAAAGUCAUUUGGCCAGUUUAUGAAGCAAAGGCAGGUUAUGGUUUGACACUUUUCCUAGCAACUAUAUUUUGGAGAAGUUAGAUGUUCAUGUUGUCCUUGAUGUGACCUCAUUACUUUCAACCAGGAACAUGGUUAUCGAGAAGGAGGAAUGGAGAACUGGGAAGCAUGUUAGCCUUUUUAUGGAUGACCACAGUCACCUGUUUAAACACAUCUUUAUAAAAAGUUCUACCAUAGUUAAUUCCUAAGAAACCACAACUGUGUAGGGCCAUUCUAUAUGGGCAAGAGGACCUGUAACUAAUAUCCAUGAGCCUCUCAUAGUCCUCCAUGUUUGAAGGCUUACUAUAGAUUUAAUGAUGCUAUGCCCAUAUAUUUGACUAUGUCCACAGUGAUUCAGACAAAUGGAUACUAUUAUGGGAUGAAAUAAACUUAAAGAAAAUAGAUUCUUUAAGAUGAGCAUGUUAAGUAUGACGAAACUCCUGAUAGUAUGCCUUUUUUUUAAAAAAAAAUAGAUUUUCUUCCUUAGAUAACUCUUUAAAACUAAGCACUGCUAGCCUCCUGUUUAAUGGAAUUGAUUCACAGUGCUCUACUUUUUUGUUCUCUGAAAUGACAGGUUUAUUAUAAAGGUCAGUUGGGAAGAGCUACGGCUUUAAGUGUAACUCCUGAAAUGGAAAAAGUAAAGAAGAAUCAAGAAAAUAUUAGCUCGGCAAGUGGUUUCAUUCAUUUUGGACUCUCACAAAGGACAUGUCCUUUAUAAUUUAUUUGCAGUCUAAUUUUUUUCCUUGUGAAAAUAAACUUGUGAUAUUUCCUUUAAGUAUAUGUGUUAUUUCAAAUGACUUCCAAAAGCCGCCACUGUACAAAUUUACAUUAUCCUUUCGUCCUUCAAUGGUAUUUCCAGAUGUGACUGACAGUUAUAUUUACAGUUUAUUUAAACAACACUUCAUGUUAUUUUAGCUAGAAUCUUUGAAAAUGAUAAAGUCUUGGAUGCAUAGGUUAAAUAAUUGUCAUUUUGCUGAUGUCUUUCAUUGAACAUGGGUUGUUAAGCACAAAGCAAAAUAGAAAGUGAGUCAUUCCUCCAGUGUGAGGACCUAGAGGAAAAAUGUCUUUAAAUGCAUUUGAUACAAAAUUCAGUUACUCAUGAAAGUUAUUUGGGGUGCAUAUCAGUAUCUACUUUGGAUAGCAUGUAUUCUCUUAGUGAUUAUCAGGGCUUCAGUUCUGAAUUAUAUGUAUGCACUCAGAUCUUAGUACUUGGAGUCCUGAUCUUACACAUAAUUAGCUUCGUAUAUGGCAGUGACCUGAGGGUCAGUCGUAAAGAACACAGACCCUGUUCCUGGCACAUUUUCAAGAGCACCUUGGUUGGCAUCCAGCAUUAGGGCUUCAUAAUUUCCAGCUAUCUAGUGGCAUUUCUGUCCAGAAAUAUUGGUGUGUCCAACAUAAAUUACCUUUAAGCUUUUGAUGCUUAGAAGGAAAACUAGAUUUGUUCUUCAUUCUCUAAGGAGAAAAAAAUUAAAGGGAAUUAGAGGGAAACGUGGAAUGCAUUCUUCAACACUGUUGUGACAGGAAGUGAGGAUGAAAUUUAGAAACAAAAAUAAAUUUAAGUGCUGUUUAGUUUUAGACUUUUUCUGUUUAAUUUAAAUAUAAGUUUUACUGACUAUUUUGCUAGCAACUGUUGAUCAUACACAUUUGCUUUCAAUUAAUAGAUUUAAGUCAAUUUUGCAAUAAUCUUUAAGGUAGAUCUUUGAGAGUGGAAUUUUAGUUGGUAUUUUAGAACAAAAUAGAAUUCAAGAAAAAGCUACCCGGGAAAUAAUUUUGAAUUUGUUGCAUAUGUUUGGCUCAUCUGGAAAACUUAAAAAUAAGUUAUAUCCUGGUUUUUGGCAUUAUAAUUGUCUUAUUAAUGUCUACUGUUUACUUUGCAGGUAAAAUAUACUCAGGACCAAAAACUGAUGAAAGGCAGACCAAGUCUGAUUUUAGAUACACCUGGUCUGAGACAUGUUAAAGAAGCACAAAAUCAUAUUUCAAUGGUAGGGUAGAACCAGAUCACUCUAACAUGACUAAAAGAUACUAAGGAACAGCAAGACCAGUAUAUGGAUGGCAUUAG
rnacentral:lncRNA from 1 species